CACGUAGGGGGCAAGCGUUGUCCGGAUUUAUUGGGCGUAAAGAGCUCGUAGGCGGUGUGUCGCGUCGGCCGUGAAAACCUGCAGCUUAACUGUGGGCUUGCGGUCGAUACGGGCAUCACUGGAGUUCGGCAGGGGAGACUGGAAUUCCUGGUGUAGCGGUGAAAUGCGCAGAUAUCAGGAGGAACACCGGUGGCGAAGGCGGGUCUCUGGGCCGAUACUGACGCUGAGGAGCGAAAGCGUGGGGAGCGAACAGG
rnacentral:rRNA from 1 species